ACGGCGUUCGCCGUUUUCCCAUGUACCUACAACACACUUUCGCGGUUCGUCUCUGGUUUCUUCCACAGAAAAUUCAAUUGAUUCCAUGUAGGCCGGUCUCAGGCACAUAAUCCAAAGCAUCGUGUUAUCACAUCGGCACCAACAAUUUAAUUCCGCGUAACGCGAGAACGCGACCCUCGCGAGCGAUAGCUAAGUGUGUAAUUGUAAUAGGUAAACUGCGUGAUCUAGAACGAGGCCAAAACCAUCAGUUCGUCCUAUCUCCGUACGUACGAAGGAAGCCGUAAAGUCGUCGAAAGUGUCACACAAGUCGCCUGAUACCUCGUAUACCGUAGAACGAAUACUUAAAAGUAAUACCCAUGGUCUGCUGGGGCAGCAUAUUGAAUUAAAGCAAAUAGCUGGUGGUAAGAUGAAUAAAAAUAACUUGACCAACGAGAUGAGAAAAAUCCGGAGAAGAUCUGUCGGAAAUUCUUCGCGUUCGUCACGUGCCAUCACGACGACGAUGACGUAAUUAAUUUGGAAAUGCUCGUUUGGCAUUCACGCAUAGUAGUGGGAGAAAAAAUUAAUUCACGGAGCGUCAUAGCUCGUCUCUCGUCUGUCAGAAUCUAUACUUAUUGUUACGGUCACAUGAUUAUUACUAAAUAAAUUGAUUGCUGUUACAACGAUA